GGAUUCAAUAGUUUUGACAGAAAAGUUAGCAGAAGCAAUGAAAUCCAAGCAUAUUUCUGUGGAAGAUGCAUUCAAAGCAUAUGGUAGUGAAAGAUGGAGACGUGUGUUUCCAUUAACAGUAAUGGCAAAUCGCGUUGGAGCACUGCUGCAGUCUGAGAAUAAACUGAUAUGUUCUGUUAGAAAUAAUCUCCUUGUGCCUAAGCUGAAGCCCAGAGCAUUGACGAAACAUACCAAUUAUGAAUUUGAGCAAGCUAAAAGAGACGGACAUUAGUUUUUGAGGGAGGAAAACUUAGCAAUAGCUUGCCAAUAAGAUUUCCCUCGAAUAG
rnacentral:misc_RNA from 1 species